rnacentral:rRNA from 1 species
GGGGAAUUUUGGACAAUGGGGGCAACCCUGAUCCAGCCAUGCCGCGUGUGUGAAGAAGGCCUUCGGGUUGUAAAGCACUUUCGGCCGGAACGAAAUCGCGCGAUCUAAUAAGUCGCGUGGAUGACGGUACCGGAAGAAGAAGCACCGGCUAACUACGUGCCAGCAGCCGCGGUAAUACGUAGGGUGCAAGCGUUAAUCGGAAUUACUGGGCGUAAAGCGUGCGCAGGCGGUGAUGUAAGACAGAUGUGAAAUCCCCGGGCUCAACCUGGGAACUGCAUUUGUGACUGCAUCGCUGGAGUGCGGCAAAGGGGGAUGGAAUUCCGCGUGUAGCAGUGAAAUGCGUAGAUAUGCGGAGGAACACCGAUGGCGAAGGCAAUCCCCUGGGCCUGCACUGACGCUCAUGCACGAAAGCGUGGGGAGCAAA